AUUGUUAUGAGCUGUGAACAUGGAUCGUGCACUGAACUUCUAAGUCUCAAUGUCCAUCUCUAAUAGUGGUCACUUUAGGCUCUAAUGUUCUAUCAUUCUAUAAAUACCUAUUUUCUGAUUAUAAAUUUUUGCUGGAAACCUCAUUGACCUGGCUUGUAUUGCUAUCAUUAUCCUGAUUCCAGUACCCCUUCCUCCAUAUCUGGAGCCUGGACUGCAUAUUUUAACACCAAGCAUAAUUUACUCCAUUUCUCUCGCCCCAAAUAAAAGAAAGAAAUUUUCUGCAAGAGCACUAACAGCUCAGAAACCAGAUGUGGUUUGUGUAGGUAUUCAUUAUGAAUUUGCAGCAAAUUAUUAUAGAGACAGCCAAACCCAAAGGCACACUUUAGAAGAGAGUAAUAGGGACAGAGAUUUAAGUGAUUCUGAAAGGAAAAGACUUCUUAAAAAAUAUUUAAAUGUCUUAAUUUUUCAGUUUGGCAGACUGGUAAUACAAAUUAGGAAGAAGUCCCCCUUAUCCCUUACCCUAACAAGGAUUAUCUAUAUUGCUUUGGGAGCUUUUGGUCAGGGUACAUGGCUUACUUUGUGCCCAGUGGCGCAAUGCGUCAUUGGAGUGAUAGCAUGCUGAUUCCAAAUGAGCUGGGAUUGAAUCUUGGCUGUGUCAUUUGCUAAAACAUUAACCAUAGAAAAUUUAAACUUUCUGAGCCUCUUUAUUCUCCUUUUACUAUAAAGGAGGAUAAUAAUACCUACCUGGUCAUUGUUAGAAUUGGAUAUAAUUUUCGCCUGACAAAAUUAUGUGCUUAAUAAGCAAAUAAUGGUAGCAGCAUUAUCAGUUGGAGUAGCUGAAUACAUGUGUCCUUUGAGGGUGAUAUGGUUUGGCUGCAUUCUCUCUCAAAUCUCAUCUUGAAUUGUAAGCCCCAUAAUCCCCACGUUUUGUGGGAGGGAUCCCGUGGGAGGUAAUUGAAUCAUGGGCAUGGUUUCUCCCGUGCUGUUCUCGCGAUAGUGAGCGAGUUCUCAUGAGAUCUGAUGGUUUUAUAAGCCUCCGGCCUUUCUCCCGCUGGCACUUACCCUCCUUCCUGCAACGAUGUGAAGAAGGACAAGUUUGCUUCCCCUUCUGCCAUGAUUGUAAGAAGACUGGUGGUGCUGCUGGAAUAAAAGGAGUGAUGGAAGACAGGUGAGGGUGUGAGGAGAAAAGAUUUGGUGAAUCACAGUUAUGUUUCCUGGCAUUAAAUCACCCUUGAAUAUUUCUAUAAUAAAUGAAAUUCAAUAGGGCCUGAAAAGGGGGUCAACCAAGUACUGCGACUUUCACAAUAAAAUGGUUAACUGGAGCCAGCCUCAGUGGAUCAGAGAGUCAAGGCUUUGUCCUUUCAACGUCCCUGUGCUUUGAAAAAGACACAGAAACAGCAGUUCACUGAUUUCCACAAAGGCCGAAGACCUAUGUCAUCCACCCA
rnacentral:lncRNA from 10 species